rnacentral:rRNA from 1 species
CCCUUAGAUGUCCUGGGCCGCACGCGCGCUACACUGAUGCAUGCAACGAGUAUAUAACCUUGGCCUGAAAGGCCUGGGUAAUCUUUUGAACGUGCAUCGUGAUAGGGAUAGAUUAUUGCAAUUAUUAAUCUUGAACGAGGAAUUCCUAGUAAACGCGAGUCAUCAGCUCGCAUUGAUUACGUCCCUGCCCUUUGUACACACCGCCCGUCGCUACUACCGAUUGAACGUUUUAGUGAGGCAUUUGGACCGACGCAUCUCAGUUUAACCGCUGGUUUGUGUUGGAAAGACUUCCAAACUUGAGCGUUUAGAGGAAGUAAAAGUCGUAACA